UACAGAGGGGGCGAGCGUUGUUCGGAAUUACUGGGCGUAAAGGGCGCGUAGGUGGCCUGUUAAGUCGAACGUGAAAUCCCCGGGCUCAACCCGGGAACUGCGUCCGAGACUGGCAGGCUCGAAUCCGGGAGAGGGAUGUGGAAUUCCAGGUGUAGCGGUGAAAUGCGUAGAUAUCAGGAGGAACACCGAUGGCGAAGGCAGGUCUCUGGGCAUUAACUGACGCUGAGGAGCGAAAGCAUGGGGAGCGAACAGG
rnacentral:rRNA from 1 species